AGCGCCGUCNGAGAGGUGAACGGCCACAUUGGGACUGAGACACGGCCCAAACUCCUACGGGAGGCAGCAG
rnacentral:rRNA from 1 species